rnacentral:rRNA from 1 species
UACGUAGGGUGCAAGCGUUAAUCGGAAUUACUGGGCGUAAAGCGUGCGCAGGCGGUGAUGUAAGACAGGUGUGAAAUCCCCGGGCUUAACCUGGGAACUGCAUUUGUGACUGCAUCGCUUGAGUGCGGCAGAGGGGGAUGGAAUUCCGCGUGUAGCAGUGAAAUGCGUAGAUAUGCGGAGGAACACCGAUGGCGAAGGCAGCCCCCUGGGUCAAAACUGACGCUCAUGCACGAAAGCGUGGGGAGCAAACAGG